rnacentral:rRNA from 1 species
CCUACGGGUGGCAGCAGUGGGGAAUAUUGGACAAUGGGGGCAACCCUGAUCCAGCCAUGCCGCGUGUGUGAAGAAGGCCCUCGGGUUGUAAAGCACUUUCAGUGAGGAAGAACGCCUGGUGGUUAAUACCCAUCAGGAAAGACAUCACUCACAGAAGAAGCACCGGCUAACUCCGUGCCAGCAGCCGCGGUAAUACGGAGGGUGCGAGCGUUAAUCGGAAUUACUGGGCGUAAAGCGCGCGUAGGUGGCUUGAUAAGCCGGUUGUGAAAGCCCCGGGCUCAACCUGGGAACGGCAUCCGGAACUGUCAAGCUAGAGUGCAGGAGAGGAAGGUAGAAUUCCCGGUGUAGCGGUGAAAUGCGUAGAGAUCGGGAGGAAUACCAGUGGCGAAGGCGGCCUUCUGGACUGACACUGACACUGAGGUGCGAAAGCGUGGGUAGCAAACAGGAUUAGAUACCCGGUAGUC